rnacentral:tRNA from 1 species
GCAGUGGUGGUUUAGUGGUAGAAUUCUUGUCUUCCAUGUGGGAGACCUGGGUUUGAAUCCUGACCAAUGCA